rnacentral:pre_miRNA from 1 species
AAACAGCCCCCUAUGUUUUGAUUCUUUGGCAGUUUUGGACCCCAGUCCAUUGUUGACUCGGUCAACGCUGACGUGGCACCCUAAGUGAGGUGCCACGUGUCAAUUUUAUUUUAUUUUUGCCUUGGGGGUCCAAAAUUGCCAAAGAAUCAAAACAUAGGGGGCUGUUU